rnacentral:rRNA from 1 species
AUAGAAAGAUUAAACUGAAGAGUUUGAUCAUGGCUCAGAUUGAACGCUGGCGGCAGGCUUAACACAUGCAAGUCGAACGAUGAAACUCUAGCUUGCUAGAGAUGAUUAGUGGCGGACGGGUGAGUAACAUUUAGGAAUCUGCCUAGUAGUGGGGGAUAGCUCGGGGAAACUCGAAUUAAUACCGCAUACGACCUACGGGUGAAAGGGGGCGCAAGCUCUUGCUAUUAGAUGAGCCUAAAUCAGAUUAGCUAGUUGGUGGGGUAAAGGCCUACCAAGGCGACGAUCUGUAACUGGUCUGAGAGGAUGAUCAGUCA